ACUAACAUAAUAAGGGCUUCAAAAUGAGUAGUUUUAUAUACAUUGCAGUGCCAGAAGUGUCACAGUACAUUAAGUACUGGAUUAGUGACUGAUCCUGCUUAGGGUAGGUGUUAAUUGAAUAUACAAACCUUCUAUAAAAAGAAAGUUUAAAUGAGUGGGUAGUAACUUUGUUCUAUAUUUAAAGAUUGUUACAACCUUAAAUAUUACUGUUGGAUAUGAGGUUCAUUCUUUCUAAAUUAAAAGAACUAUACUAUUUUUAUGACAGUUAGCUUUGUAUAUUUUGAAUUUUCCCUUAUACAUUUGUAUUAUGCUGACAUAAGCUUUCAUGAAAUCCUUGGAAUGUAGAGUGACAUUACAAUAUAACUCCAUUAUCACAGUUUUUGAUAUAGUGUAAUAUAACUAAUUUUGCUCUCUUAUUGCCAACUGCUGUCUUUAUUUUCUUAUCAGAUUGAAUACUAUCUUAUUUCUUAAAUCAGAGCAAACAAUAAACAUAUACAAAAUUUCAUGAAAAUCAGUUGGUCGGUUUCAGAGAUUAGCACAAAUGAAAAAUAAAUAUAAAUAAUUUUUGUACUGUCAUAUUUCUGGAUUACUGUAUCUAAUCACCGCCAAUAAUACUGCACUUGGUUUUUAAGUUUUACAGCACAAGUAAUGUAAUUAUUAAUAUAUUCACUUGGAUGGAUAGUUGCCAAAUAUGGUGGUAUUAGCACCAAAAGAUUUUGUUCAUCACUCGAUCUUGGUAACUAUUGCAAUUAUGUGCGUGAACCUGGUGAUAAGCUGGAGUACAGGACUUGCAUUUACACAUGUGGCAGUGACGGAUGCAACACAGC
rnacentral:misc_RNA from 1 species